UACGAAGGGGGCUAGCGUUGUUCGGAAUUACUGGGCGUAAAGCGUAUGCAGGCGGAUCGUUAAGUCGGGGGUGAAAUCCCGAGGCUCAACCUCGGAACUGCCUUCGAUACUGGCGAUCUUGAGUCCGGGAGAGGUGAGUGGAACUCCGAGUGUAGAGGUGAAAUUUCGUAGAUAUCGGGAGGAACACCAGUGGCGAAGGCGGC
rnacentral:rRNA from 1 species